UACGUAGGGUGCAAGCGUUGUCCGGAAUUAUUGGGCGUAAAGAGCUCGUAGGCGGCUUGUCGCGUCGAAUGUGAAAUCUCAGGGCUCAACUCUGACAUUGCAUUCGAUACGGGCAGGCUAGAGUUCGGUAGGGGAGACUGGAAUUCCUGGUGUAGCGGUGAAAUGCGCAGAUAUCAGGAGGAACACCGGUGGCGAAGGCGGCCCGCUGGGCAGGAAGACACCGCAAGGUGUCGGCUGACGCUGAGGCGCGACAGCGUGGGAGCAAACAGG
rnacentral:rRNA from 1 species